CCCAGAAUGCGACCCUGGCCAUAGCCGUAUUCACCAUCCUCACCUCCAUCUACUUCUUCAACAAGGCUCAGCAAUGAGAAGACACAGGACCCCUAGUCCAAGAGCCCUGCCUCUGCCCUGACCGUGACUGUGGCCUCUGAGACCAAAUAAAUGUGACUGAAUCAGCACACCCUGCUCUAUCCCACCACCCCGGCAGGCACACAGCCUCGGGCCAACUCUGUCUGAGGGCCAGGCUUCUGGGUCAGAGACAGGAGGCCCGCACUCCUGGGUCUGGGGAAGGUGAAGACUAGGGGGAUAGACUAUCAGGUUUGAGGCUAGGUGCCCAGAGACUGAGCUGUGUUUUGAGGGGGAGUAGUCUGUCAGGAGCGUUUAGAGAGGGGGAAGGACAUUCCAACUUUGAGUGCAAAAACACAGAUAGGAGAAGAAGCAGGGAUGACUCACCACCUGGUACCAACACAAACUGCUGUGUACUUCAGAUUUAUUCCUUCUCUCUGAGUCUUGGUUUUCUUCUCAGUCAGACAAAGGUGAAAAUCUUGGACCAGUGGGCCCCAGAAGGCCGUGGCAAGGACAGCCUGAGAUCAAAGAUGCGAAUGGAAUUUGCAAGUUGCAAAGCCAGAAGUUGGUCAGCCCCGCUCUAGCAGGGAAGUCGAUUUCCGCAAAACAAGAAUUCCGAGACCUGAGCCGGGUAAGCGGUCCUUGAGGCUUAGUCCCCUCUCCCAGGGGCCUUCCUCUCUCCCUGGACCAUAGCCGCGCCCCCUAUCUCUCUCCUUCAGUCUUCUCAGGGGUCAUUCUACAAGCAGAGGUGACCUAUCCUUCCCUUGGCUCCCCGGCACCCCUGGGACAAGAGUCCCAGCCCCUCAGCCUGGCAUAGGAAGCUGUGUUUUGGGGUUUGUUUGUUUGUUUUUGGCCGCGAUGUGUCUUCUUUGCUGCACGUGGGCUGUGGGCUUUCUCUAGUUGCUGGAA